rnacentral:rRNA from 1 species
GACGAACGCUGGCGGCGUGCCUAAUACAUGCAAGUAGAACGCUGAAGGAGGAGCUUGCUUCUCUGGAUGAGUUGCGAACGGGUGAGUAACGCGUAGGUAACCUGCCUGGUAGCGGGGGAUAACUAUUGGAAACGAUAGCUAAUACCGCAUAACAGUAGAUAUCGCAUGAUAGCUGCUUGAAAGGUGCAAUUGCACCACUACCAGAUGGACCUGCGUUGUAUUAGCUAGUUGGUGAGGUAACGGCUCACCAAGGCGACGAUACAUAGCCGACCUGAGAGGGUGAUCGGCCACACUGGGACUGAGACACGGCCCAGACUCCUACGGGAGGCAGCAGUAGGGAAUCUUCGGCAAUGGACGGAAGUCUGACCGAGCAACGCCGCGUGAGUGAAGAAGGUUUUCGGAUCGUAAAGCUCUGUUGUAAGAGAAGAACGGGUGUGAGAGUGGAAAGUUCACACUGUGACGGUAUCUUACCAGAAAGGGACGGCUAACUACGUGCCAGCAGCCGCGGUAAUACGUAGGUCCCGAGCGUUGUCCGGAUUUAUUGGGCGUAAAGCGAGCGCAGGCGGUUAGAUAAGUCUGAAGUUAAAGGCUGUGGCUUAACCAUAAUACGCUUUGGAAACUGUUUAACUUGAGUGCAAGAGGGGAGAGUGGAAUUCCAUGUGUAGCGGUGAAAUGCGUAGAUAUAUGGAGGAACACCGGUGGCGAAAGCGGCUCUCUGGCUCGUAACUGACGCUGAGGCUCGAAAGCGUGGGGAGCAAACAGG